rnacentral:rRNA from 1 species
AACCUGCCUCGGAGUGGGGAAUAACACAACGAAAAGCUGUGCUAAUACCGCAUGAUACAGUUGGGUCGCAUGACUCUGACUGUCAAAGAUUUAUCGCUCUGAGAUGGCCUCGCGUCUGAUUAGCUAGUUGGUGGGGUAACGGCCCACCAAGGCGACGAUCAGUAGCCGGACUGAGAGGUUGACCGGCCACAUUGGGACUGAGACACGGCCCAG